rnacentral:lncRNA from 1 species
UCUUAUUGAUUAAGUAUACGAAAAUCUUAGAAGAAAUCCCGUCCAAAUAACCACCUUACUGAAUACUUGAAUUAAACUUUGAAGACAAACAUAUCACUCGGUACACAUGCCCAAUUGCAAUCUGCCUUGCAUAGGCAUCCAUAAAUCACAAUAAAAUACGAUCAAGUCUAGUUUAUAAUAAAACGGAGAAAAUAGAGGAUUCGAACAAUCAAACUUAACGAAAUUACUUAUUAAAAACAUUUCCUGGUUCACCUCAGAACCCAACCCCCAAUUCUAGAGCCUCAGAGUCAGAUCAAUCCCGUCGUCAGUCUCUUCCUGAUCCCCUUCACGCACGCCUUGCUGGUGUCCACGGUGACCACCAUCUCCAGUCCUGCGGUAGCCGCCGGCCACACGCGCCGACACAGCAGAUGACGGUUGAGUUGGAGCAAGCCCGGUACCAAUCUGCCAUUGCCACUGCAACGAAGGAGGCACGAAGAAGGGGGCCGAGGGGUAGUAGUGGGCGGCAAACAGGUUCUCAUGGAGGUAAGCUCUGCCCAAGGCGGUGAUGUCCGACGACGAUGCCCAGAUGGGCACUGACGACGACGCGGGAGGACGGUCUAUGCGUGCCUUCUUGUUGACGGGGCCGGGUGGCGCCCACAGGUGCCUGUGCACCGUCUGGUGCCCGCACCGCCCCUGCACGGUCGUGAACAUGCGGGGGCAGUACUCGCACUUGAACCUGGCCUUCUGCACCUUGUUGCUGGAAGACGAUGAUGCCGUGAGAGACGACGUCUGGCUCGUGUACCCUGCCUUGUCAUCCUCGGCACGGGUGGCCGGCGGCAGAGACUUGUCGUUGUCGGCGGGGAAGGUGGACACGGAGGAACCAGUGGACUCCAUUUCUGCAAAUGGUCUAGAUGAGACGUACUACUACUUAUCUUGUUGUGUGCUUCGGCUGCUUGCUUGCAGUACUCGACGGUGGGGGUUUUAUAGUUACGGAGCGGGAUGUGGGAUUGGCUAAGAUUGGAAGAAAACAUGCUGGUGGCGUUAUUUCUAGCAGUGCAAUCAUUCUCAUAAUUCUCUACAAUUACUCGUAUAUUUAUGGCCUUCCAAUUAAAUGUAUUUUCUUUUUCUUUUUUAAUUUUUUUUGGAUUGGUUGAAAUGUAUUUCCCCGUCAUGACGAUAGGAAUUCAAUUUGCAUCCCUUUUGGUUUUGGGCCACUAGAGGCCCAGUUUUGUUUCGUCCAAUUUCCCGCUCCGGCCGACGUGCUAGAACGGUCCAUUAUUCAGUAGCCCAUUGUAACCAAAGCUCAUUUUUAUGUGGGCCAAGUAAGAGCAAUUUCAAUGGGGUGACCCAAACGGACGGCGAUUUCGUCCGCGUUUUAUCCGUUUGAGUCGGACGCCGCCGGCGUUCGCCUGUUUUAGAUAUGGGUCGGCUGGGUGCCCAACGCGCCGACCCAUAUGUGCUGGCGUGGCCGUCUGGCCUCCCUAUUUUUCGCAUGAUUGCAUAGUUUGAAUCAAAUAAUAUAGUUUCAGACCCAAUAAAAUAGUGUAGUUUAUUACAAGCCGCCUGGCCUCCCUAUUCAACGCCCGAAGGUGGCCCGGAAUGGAACCAUGAAACAAUGGCCCUGGCUGUUAAGGUGGUGAUGGACCAACAUGGCAGCCAAUAUCUCCUCCUCAUCAUCGGAGGACGAAUCAUCGGAGUCGCAAAGGAAAUUGUGAAAAAAGAACUAGUCGGCGGAGUCCAUUUUGUACCUUAGCAAACUGUCGAACAACUUGUGGGAGUUGGCGAAGGAGACGGCCGACGAAGGGAGUCGUGGCGCGCACGGACCAGCUAGCUGUCCUGUCGACGUCCGACGAGCGUGCCAGCGUCCGACGAGCGUGCCGGUGAGGAUCUGGCCGGCGGCGAGGCGGCUUCUUGGUCGGGACGGCUGUGCGGUGGUGGUGCGCGGGGGGUGGGAAGCAGUCGGCUCCCCGGCAGCAAGACGGCGGUGGCGGGCGACGUGGGAGUGGGCGGCGUAGCUAGGCGGAUGUGGAGGCGCCGACAGUUGGCAGAGUCGCCGACAAAAAUGGGCGGCGGCGUCGGCGACGAAAGAGGAUCAUGAAGGUUGUUGUUGGAUGGGGGGAGGCCAAUGUGCCACCGAUCAGCGGGCCGGGGAGGAGAGGGCGAGCAUGUGCGCGUCCGUCGCAUGUCCGCGCCGACGCAAAUCCGACUCAAAAAUGGGCCGGGAAUGGGUCGCCCGUGGACGAAUAGAGCAUGCGCGUCUAUUUGGGUUGGCAUGUUGGGACGCCUUUUGUGUCCAUGCCGACCCAAACGAACGGCGGCGGACGAAAUGGGUCGCCCCGUUGGAGUAGCUCUAAAUCCACAACCCAUAUAUAUCAAGCACAUACAAUAAUUUUGGAGAAAUGGUCUAGAAAGUUACUUAAAUUAUUACAUAAUCUCAUAAAUAUAUAAUUAAGUUACAAAAUGUGUUUACACACAAAAUUAUGACAUAAUCUCAUAAAUAUAUAAUUAAGUUACAAAAUGUGUUUACACACAAAAUUAUGUGUUCACCAACAGAAUCACCAUUUCGACCGAGAUUUGAGAAGGGGGUUUACCCUAGGCAUUUGCAUAGCAGAAGCCAGAGAAUAUGACCAAUCAACUCUUGCUUCUUUCUGACUUCCUCCAUCUCUUAUUUUGUUUUGAUGAUCACCUGCAUGUUUUCCUCUUCGUUGCUUCCUCGAGAUGUUGACUGCAUCUCAUAACCCAGGUUCACCUGUCUUUUAGCCAGUAGUUGAGCCUCAAGAACUUUAGCAGUUGGUGACUUUGACGAUUGCAUCUAAUCUACCAUUAUGCGGGCAUGUUCAUGUGGCAUUACUCUAGGAGGUUACCUUGGAAAUUACCUCAAAACUUGAUCUUGGGAUUAUCCCUUCUGCCAUCAUAAUCUCAAUUGUAGUCUUGAACAUUACUACAUAUUGACAUACUACUAACCCCUCAUCACUGGUCGGCCUAUGGCCACGUGUCACUGAUGAGGUUCAUCACCAACAGGCUAAUGUUUGGUCGAUCAGUGCGGGUCAUCCAUGAUUGUUAACACAAACAGGUUAAAAUUUGGUCGAUCAGUGAUGUUGUCCUCCUCAGCCGUUGGGAGGUUGAAAGUUUAUCACAGACUGAUGUCAAAAUUUGCUCGUCACUGCUAUUACUUAGAUAUCAAUAGAUUCAGAAAAGUGUAACUUAUUUCCCUGAGCAGUGCAACUUGCACUUUCCUAGAAAAGUGCAAGUGGAUGAAAAAGUGCAAGUUGCAUUUUUGUCAGUAUACUAAAUUUAUAGUUUUCUGAAUUAAUCGGGACUUCAGAUAAAAUUCUCCAUACAGUUGAUCCCAUAAGUGUUGCCCUGAUUAUAUAAGUUACGCUUAAUGAUGUGAUAAAUUAAAUUUGAAUCCAUGAAAAUUUUCUUUCUCAUUCAUAAUAAUAUUUGUUCUCCACGAGCUAUUUUUUUAUUCCAAAAAUUAUUUGAACUAUAUUGUAUAGACUAAUGAAAUUGUGAUUCUAUGUUUUAGAGUCUACUUCCACCUAGACAAUACUUCCUUUUCUUUUUUGAUAUGAAAGAUCCGGAGAAGCUGAUGUAAUUCUAAACAUCAAGCUAAUUAAGGAUGAGAGUGGGAUUACUUUAACGCAAUCUCACUAUGUUGAGAAGGUCUGGAGUUGGUUUGAUAGAUAGCAAGACUUCUCCAACACCUUAUGAUCCUAGUGUGACACUUCAAAAGAACAUGAAAGAAACAAGUGAUCAACUAAGAUACUCUCAAAUUAUCGAUUCACUCAGGUUUUUAGCUAGCGCAACAAGGCCAAAUAUUGUGAUCUCUCGCGACACAAAUUAGCAUUCACCUUAAGCUCCUGAAAUAUAAUUUCCCAAAAAAGCAAUCGAAUUGUUUGUCUGUUGUCUUGAUGAUGAUUUGCCGAGUGGUUUUAUAGUGGUGAGGAGACUUAUCUUCUUAAUUAAUCGAUGAGGAAAAACUUUUGCCUCUGUUUGGGAUAUUACUGUAAUUGCUAAUGGAGCUCGAGCUCCAUGGAGCCCUUAAUUUGAAAUUUUCAAAACUCAAAUUUUUAGAUUUAAAAAAAUCUUAAAAUUUCACUCUAAAAAUAUCCAAAAAAAUUAUGUCAGCUACACAAAAAUGACAAAAUCAAGUAUUUCUAACACAUGUACCACUAGAAAAGUAUAUGAUUUUGUAUUUUGUAUAGCUCACACAGCUAUUCCAUGAUGAAAUUUCAUACAGUCUAGUAUUUACCUAUAAGUACUUGUGUAUUUGUUUUCAUGUUUUCUUUGAAACUUAGGAAGUUGAUAUUGGAAAAUUUCAGGCUCCAUGGAGCCCGAGCAAAAAAAUCCACUCUCCUCAUACAUUACAUAUAUAUAUAAAGCGGGGAAUAGUUAUAUCGAAUCUACAUCCCUCUAUUUUUUGCGGGUAGAUCUGAUCACCAUCCUGAUGUGCUUUGGAAAUCAUGAAAUUUUGUGAAGGCGAUGUCACGAAGCAAAAUACAACAAAGGUCCUGGAAAAACGUUUUAUAUAAAAUGAUAAGAUCACACGUUUAUAACUACUUCGUUGUAAAACUCCCCUAUUGGAUAAGUACACAACAAAAAUUUAGAAGAAAUCCCAUCCAGAUAACCACCUUUUUGAAUACAGUACUUGUAUUACACUUUGAUUGAAGACAGACAAGUCACACGGCAGAUUGACCAAUUUCAAUUUGUCUUAAAUAUGCACCCAUAAAUCACAGGGAAAUACGAUCAAGUCUAGCUUUUAUAAUAAAACGAAGAAAAAAUAGAGUAUUCGAACAAUCGAACUUAAGGGAACAUUUAAAAACAUUUCCUGAUUCACUUCAGAACCCAACCCCUAAUUCUAGAGCCUCAGGGUCAGAUCAAUCCCGUCGGCAGUCUCUUCCUGAUCCACUUCACACACGCCUUGCUGCUGUCCACGGUGACCACCAUCUCCAGUCCUGCGGUAGCCGACGACCACACGCGCCGACACAGCAGAUGACGGUUGAGUUGGAGCAAGGCCGAUACCAGUCUGCCAUUGCCACUGCAAUGAAGGAGGCACGAAGGGGGCCGUGGGGUAGUAGUGGGCGGCAAGCAGGUUCUCAUGGAGGUAAGCUCUGCCCAAGGCGGUGAUGUCCGACGACGAUGCCCAGAUGGGCGCUGACGACGACUCGGGAGGACGGUCUAUGUGUGCCUUCUUGUUGACGGGGCCGGGUGGCGCCCACAGGUGCCUGUGCACCGUCUGGUUCCCGCACCGCCCCUGCACGGUCGUGAACGUGCGGGGGCAGUACUCGCACUUGAACCUGGCCUUCUGCACCUUGUUGCUGGAAGACGAUGAUGCCGUGAGAGACGACGUCUGGCUCGUGUACCCUGCCUUGUCAUCCUCGGCACGGGUGGCCAGCGGCAGGGACUUGUCGUUGUCGGCAGGGAAGGUGGACACGGAGGAACCACAUGACUCCAUUUUUGCGGAUGCUCCAGAUGAGACGUACUACUGAUCUUGUUGUGUGCUUUGUCUGCUUGCUUGCAGUACUCGACGGUGGGGGUUUUAUAGUUACGGAGCGGGAUGUGGGAUUGGCUAAGAUUGGAAGAAAACAUGCUGGUAGCGUUAUUUCUGGCAGUGCAAUCAUUCUCAUAAUUCUCUACAACUACUCUUAUAUUUAUGGCCUCCCAAUUAAAUGUAUUUUCUUUUUCAUUUUUCAUUUUUUUAGGAUUGAUUGAAAUGUAUUUCCCCUUGAUGACCAUAGGAAUUCAAUUUGCAUCCCUUUUGGUUUUGGGCCACUAGAAGGCCCAGUUUUGUUUCGUCCAAUUUCCUGUUCCAGCCAACUUGCUAGAACGGUCCAUUAUUCAGUAGCCCAUUGUAGCCACGCUCAUUUUCAAGUGGGCCAGUAAAUCCACAACCUGUAUAUAUCAAGCACAUCCAAUAAUUUUGGAGAAAUGGUCUAGAAAGUUAAUUAAAUUAUUACGUAAUCUCAUAAAUAUAUAAUUAAGUUACAAAAUGCGUUUACACACAAAAUUAUGACAUAUAUCUAAGAGCUCAGGAAACGACAAGUUCACCAACAGAAUCACCAUUUUAACGGAGAUUUGAGAAGGGGGUUCACCCUAGGCAUUUGCAUACCAGAAGUUAGAGAAUAUGACCAAUCAACUCUUUCUUCUUUCUGACUUCCUCCGUCUCUUAUUUUGUUUUGAUGAUCACCUGCAUGUUUUCCUCUUCGUUGCUUCCUCGAGAUGUUGACUGCAUCUCAUAACCCAGCUUCACCUGUCUUUUAGCCAGUAGUUGAGCCUCAAGAACUUUAGCAGUUGGUGACUUUGACGAUUGCAUCUAAUCUACCAUUAUGCGGGCAUGUGCAUGUGGCAUUACUCUAGGAGGUUACCUUGGAAAUUACCUCAAAACUUGAUCUUGGGAUUGUCCCUUCUGCCAUCAUAAUCUCAAUUGUAGUCUCGAACAUUACUACAUAUUGACAUACUACUAACCCCUCAUCACUGGUCGGCCUAUGGCCACGUGUCACUGAUGAGGUUCAUCACCAACAGGCUAAUGUUUGGUCGAUCAGUGCGGGUCAUCCAUGAUUGUUAACACAAACAGGUUAAAAUUUGGUCGAUCAGUGAUGUUGUCCUCCUCAGCCGUUGGGAGGUCGAAAGUUUAUCACAGACUGAUGUCAAAAUCCACAACCCAUAUAUAUCAAGCACAUGCAAUAAUUUUGGAGAAAUGGUCUAGAAAGUUACUUAAAUUAUUACAUAAUCUCAUAAAUAUAUAAUUUACAAAAUGUGUUUACACACAAAAUUAUGACAUAAUCUCAUAAAUAUAUAAUUAAGUUACAAAAUGUGUUUACACACAAAAUUAUGUGUUCACCAACAGAAUCACCAUUCCGACCGAGAUUUGAGAAGGGGGUUUACCCUAGGCAUUUGCAUAGCAGAAGCCAGAGAAUAUGACCAAUGAACUCUUGCUUCUUUCUGACUUCCUCCAUCUCUUAUUUUGUUUUGAUGAUCACCUGCAUGUUUUCCUCUUCGUUGCUUCCUCGAGAUGUUGACUGCAUCUCAUAACCCAGGUUCACCUGUCUUUUAGCCAGUAGUUGAGCCUCAAGAACUUUAGCAGUUGGUAACUUUGACGAUUGCAUCUAAUCUACCAUUAUGCGGGCAUGUGCAUGUGGCACUACUCUAGGAGGUUACCUUGGAAAUUACCUCAAAACUUGAUCUUGGGAUUGUCCCUUCUGCCAUCAUAAUCUCAGUUGUAGUCUCGAACAUUACUAAUAUCGACAUAGUACUAACCCCUCAUCACUGGUCGGCCUAUGCCCACGUGUCACUGAUGAGGUUCAUCACCGACAGGCCAGCGUCGGGGCGUCAGUGUUAGGCCUGUGCGGGUCAUCCAUGAUUGUUAACACAAACAGGUUAAAAUUUGGUCGAUCAGUGAUGUUGUCCUCCUCAGCCGUUGGGAGGUCGAAAGUUCAUCACAGACUGAUGUCAAAAUUUGCUCUCUAGUGCUAUUACUUAGAUAUCAAUAGAUUCAGAAAAGUGUAACUUAUUUCCCUGAGCAGUGCAACUUGCACUUUCCUAGAAAAGUGCAAGUGGAUGAAAAGGUGCAAGUUGCAUUUUUGUCACUAUACUAAAUUUAUAGUUUUCUAAAUUAAUCGGGACUUCAGAUAAAAUUCUCCAUAUAGUUGAUCCCAUAAGUGUUGCCCUGAAUAUAGAAGUUUCGCUUAAUGAUGUGAUAAAUUCAAUUUGAAUCCAUGAAAAUUUUCUUUAUCAUUCAUAAUAAUAUUUGUUCUACACGAGCUAUUUUUUUAUUCCAAAAAUUAUUUGAACUAGUUGUAUAGACUAAUGAAAUUGUGAUUCUAUGUUUUAGAGUCUACUUCCACCUAGACAAUACUUCCUUUUCUUUUUUGAUAUGAAAGAUCCAGAGAAGCUGAUGUAAUUCUAAACAUCAAGCUAAUUAAGGAUGAGAGUGGGAUUACUUUAACGCAAUCUUACUAUGUUGAGAAGGUCUGCAGUCGGUUUGGUUUUAUAGAUAGCAAGACUUCUCCAACACCUUAUGAUCCUAGUGUGACACUUCAAAAGAACAUGAAAGAAACAAGAGAUCAACCAAGAUACUCUCAAAUUAUCGAUUCACUCAUGUUUUUAGCUAUCGCAACAUGGCCAAAUAUUGUGAUCUCUCACGACACAAAUUAGCAUUCACCUUAAGCUCCUGAAAUAUAAUUUCCCCAAAAAACAAUAGAAUUGUUUGUCUGUUGUCUUGAUGAUGAUUUGCCGAGUGGUUUUAUAGUGGUGAGGAGACUUAUCUUCUUAAUUAAUCGAUGAGGCAAAACUUUUGCCUCCGUUUCGGAUAUUACGGAAAUUGCUAAUGGAGCUCGAGCUCCAUGGAGCCCUUAAUUUGAAAUAUUCAAAACUCAAAUUUUUAUAUUUUAAAAAAUAUUAAAAUUUCACUCUAAAAGUAUCCAAAAAAAAUUAUGUCAGCUACACAAAAAUGACAAAAUCAAGUAUUUCUAACACAUGUACCACUAGAAAAGUAUAUGAUUUUGUAUUUUGUAUAGCUCACACACCUAUUUCAUGAUGAAAUUUCAUACAGUCUAGUAUGCACCUAUAAGUACUUGUGUAUUUAUUUUCAUGUUUUCUUUGAAACUUAGGAAGUUGAUAUUUGAAAAUUUCAGGCUCCAUGGAGCCCGAGCAAAAAAUCCACUCUCCUCAUAAAUUACCCAUAUAUAUAUAAAGGGGAAUAGUUAGAUCGAAUCUACAUCCCUCUUUUUUUGGCGGGUAGAUCUGAUCACCAUCCUGAUGUGCUUUGGAAAUCAUGAAAUUUUGUGAAGGCGAUGUCACGAAGCAAAACACAACAAAGGUCCUGGAAAAACGUUAUAUAUAAAAUGAUAAGAUCACACGUUUUAUAACUACUUCGUUGUAAAACUCCCCUAUUGGAUAAGUACACAACGAAAAUUUAGAAGAAAUCCCAUCCAGAUAACCACCUUUUUGAAUACAGCACUUGUAUUACACUUUGAUUGAAGACAGACAAGUCACACGGCAGAUGGACCAAUUUCAAUUUGUCUUAGAUAUGCACCCAUAAAUCACAGGGAAAUACGAUCAAGUCUAGCUUUUAUAAUAAAACGAAGAAAAUACAGUAUUCGAACAAUCGAACUUAACGGAACAACUAAAAAGAUUUCCUGAUUCACUUCAGAACCCAACCCCUAAUUCUAGAGCCUCAGGGUCAGAUCAAUCCCGUCGUCAGUCUCUUCCUGAUCCCCUUCACGCACGCCUUGCUGGUGUCAACGGUGACCACCAUCUCCAGUCCUGCGGUAGCCGCCGGCCACACGCGCCGACACAGCAGAUGACGGUUGAGUUGGAGCAAGCCCGGUACCAAUCUGCCAUUGCCACUGCAACAAAGG